GGGCACAUGGUGUAGUUGGUUAUCACAUCCGCUUAGCAUAGUAUGCUGGUGCGGGGGGUGCUGGGUUCAAUUCCCAGUGUGUCCA
rnacentral:tRNA from 1 species